UGAGUCUGCUUUUUUUAGCUAAACAGUGGUUCACUUAUUAAUGGACCAUACGUUUUGCUUUCCAUCAGUUUCCUAGAUUAAAAAUCAUUAAAAUAUCUUUUUUUUUUAACACCAAUCAAUAAAACAUCUAACACACGUAAACUUAAUUUGUGUUUCAGAGCACAUCCAUCGGCAGCUCUAAAACGGGGUUCCAAACAAAAUUCAAAAAAAAAAUGAAAAAGAGAUAAAAACACAGAAUCGGUGUUUAAUGUGGUAUUUUUACAGCUGGUAAAAACCCUUUACGUGUCUCUUUGGUAUUGGAUAAUCUAUUUUAUGUUUCUCUCCUUCAUCGUCGACUUCUCAAAAUCAAUUUUUCUCUUCCUCCUCCAAUCUCAAUCGCUCCAUCUUCUCUUUCCCUUCUGAUCUCGAUCUUCUUCUUGGUAAUCUCCUCCAAUCUCAAUCACUCCCGAGAGUGUUUGAUUUCCUCGUCUGAAUCAUUUGAUUCUUUCGCUUUCCCCCACCUUCUUAGCCGUUCGUAGAUCUCUGCAGUUACGAUCGUUUCUCCUCUCGAACCGUCUUCUUCAACGUGAUUGACUCUUUCAUUCUGUAUCUGAAUUAGCAAUGAAGCCAGGAGGAUCAGGAUUGAAUCCGAACGCAGCAGCUUACGUACCACUCUACAAAAGAGAAGCUGAUUCUACAAAACCUGCUGCUGCUACUGCCACACAUGACGUUCAGCACCAACCCUAUGGUUAUGGAGUCCAAGGGAAGGGAAGUUUUCCAGGCUCUCACAUGAGGGAUGAUGAUUCGGAGAUGGAGAUGGAGUUCCUUUUGGCUUCAUUCUCUAAUUUGUCAGAUGAGUCUAUAUGUGAUGUUUACUUGGCCAACAAUGGUGAUCUUGAUGCAACUAUCGAAAUGCUCACUCAACAUGAGGUAAACCUAUUUCACUAGUUUCACACUUAAAUUACACCAGAGUAGAUUGUCCACAACGCUUUGUUUCAUUGUGGAAAGAGAGAGAGAGUACAUUUGUAUAGAUUUUCAAUUUCAAGUUUGGGUGUUAAGGAUUGAGAUUCUUUUUAUGUAUGCUUUUAUUUUAAAUCAUUCUACUUUAAAAAAAAUUAUUUAAGAACUCCUAUGAGGUUCUCCCAUUGGAGGAGGAAAAAAUUAUUUACACUAACAAAGUUUUUUAACUUCUCAAAUCACCAUAUUAACUACUAAUUUAAUCAUAAGAGCUCAUUAGAAGUUCUAAUGGAUGGGCUUGCUCUCAUAGAGCUGGCAGGUAAGAGACUGCUCCCAGUUGUGAUCUAACAAUACUAAAAGCAGGAUAUACUCAACUCUCAACCUGUCCACGUUAACUAAAAAAAUCAACAUAUCAUAAAUCAUUCUUCUGCCACGUCGUCGUCAAAACUGGUCUGAAGCGUAAUUUUAUUCUUCUCCGACUAUCCAACUUUGUCUUCAUCGAUCAAAUUCUGCAAUUCUCCGUUACCGUAACUCACGCUUCGACAAUUUAUCAUGUUUUUAAGUCUUCUUAAAUGGUUUCGUUCCAUCUCCUCCUAUUUCUCCUUCUAUAUAAAGUCCCAUCUGAUCUUCAAUCAACCCUAAUUGACAAACACCACUGAAGACACAUAACUCCUUCUUCACUCAGAUUCUUCAAAGCCUUUUAAAUUUUUGUAAUCACCCGAUGUCGACGACCUCUUCAGGUACCCCAUCCCAUCCCAUAGUAUAUAUCUUACUUCCCUCAUCACUUACACAGAACUCCUUAACAAAUCACACCGAAAAUUACCGCCAUGGUCCCGUCAGAUCCCAUAAUCAGAGGAAACAGUUUCCUCUGGCUCCAUCUGUGUUAUCGCCUACCUAUCUUCUCCAACAGUCACGUAAGAUUUAAUACCAUCUCUGAAAAGUUGCAUUGCAUCUCUUAACACUUUUCUGCUUUGACUUCUUUAUGAAUCUAUUUUGUUUGUUUGGUGUUGUUACAAAAUGAGUGCUCCGAGGUACCAGAUGUUUCCAUUAGAUAUGGAUCCUAAUUUGAGAAAAUUUAAUCUGUGGCCGCCGUGAAGCCUACGAUCACCAGAAGCUGAAGAAGCUACAUGCAAGUCCAGGAGUACGAAAAAGAUGGGUAUUCAGAGAUGCAGAGGAAGAAUGAUGUCGAGUGUGAGGAAGAGGAGCGGACGUUGAAAGAAGAAUAAAAAGCUUGACAAGCCUAGCUAAAAGAAGAGACAUAUGCCUUAAGAGUUUGAAACAUGGAAAGGGCAGUUCUCAGUUGACAUUGAAGGAAGUGCAAGGUGGAAAUAAUGAAGAUUGCUUUCAGAAUUCGUUGAAAACAUAAAGGUGUAUCUUCGAUAACCAAAUACUUUCCCAUCUCCCAUUAUAAUCGAGUAAUCGUCAUUCUGCCAACAGAAACAACUUCAAAGUGAAGUAUAGAUACAAGUAUUAUGGAUAUCAACGACGGUUUGCAGCGGGUCUGUGUCUUAGUACAUUUCCAACCUGAAGAUUUCAGCUUAGGAUGGAGUUAGGGGAAGAGAUCGGGAGGGGUCAUUUUGAUUAUGGUUGCUCUCCUAAGCUCAAAAAAGAGAGGUUGUUGUUAGAUGCAUCCCAAAAUCUAAGGUCAACUUUACAACUAAUACUUUAUGAUGUUCUCCCAAGUUUUAAUCUUAAGGUUUAUGCUUCAAUUGGCUUUAGGUUUGCAUGCUCUUUGGUGAUUGGUAUAUAUUACUAUAAACCACGUGGAUAAAGAAAAUGUUCUUCUGCCGACAUGAAACUCGACAAAGCUCUUGACUGAAGUUGUGAAAUACAAAGAUUGAACUGUCUCAUAAUUUUUAAUUUCCUUCGUUGAAUACAAAAAGGUGUAUCUUCGAUAACCAAAUA